ACUCGCAGGGAGCUCACUCCUCGGCGGUGCCGCAGCCCUGUCCGGACUCCACUGCGCCUCUGAGGGGCUCAAAUACGAAUUCAAGAUCCGUGGCCGUUCACAUGGUUUCAAGGCACAAUGAGACUCACUGGCCCUUGGAAACUUUGGCUUUGGAUGUCAAUAUUUCUGCUUCCUGCUUCCACUUCCGUGACCGUUAGGGACAAGACAGAAGAGUCAUGCCCUAUCCUGAGAAUAGAGGGACAUCAGCUGACAUAUGACAACAUAAACAAACUUGAAGUUUCAGGUUUUGAUCUAGGAGACAGCUUUUCUCUAAGACGUGCAUUUUGUGAAAGUGAUAAAACCUGUUUCAAAUUGGGAAGUGCACUUCUUAUUAGAGACACUAUUAAGAUAUUUCCCAAAGGCCUUCCUGAGGAGUACUCAGUAGCUGCCAUGUUUCGAGUACGAAGAAACGCCAAAAAGGAACGGUGGUUUCUGUGGCAGGUUUUAAACCAGCAGAAUAUUCCACAGAUUUCUAUAGUAGUUGAUGGUGGAAAGAAGGUGGUGGAAUUUAUGUUUCAAGCCACAGAGGGAGAUGUGUUGAACUACAUUUUUAGAAAUCGAGAACUCCGUCCUUUGUUUGAUCGUCAGUGGCACAAACUUGGCAUUAGUAUACAAUCCCAGGUCAUUUCACUUUAUAUGGAUUGUAAUUUAAUUGCGAGGAGGCAGACUGAUGAAAAGGACACUGUGGAUUUCCAUGGACGGACAGUUAUUGCUACGCGAGCUUCAGAUGGCAAGCCUGUGGAUAUUGAACUUCACCAACUUAAAAUCUACUGCAGUGCAAACCUCAUAGCUCAAGAAACAUGUUGUGAAAUAUCAGAUACUAAGUGCCCAGAGCAGGAUGGCUUUGGAAAUAUUGCAUCAUCAUGGGUAACUGCUCAUGCCAGUAAAAUGUCUUCAUAUCUGCCAGCAAAGCAGGAACUUAAAGACCAGUGCCAGUGCAUUCCAAACAAGGGAGAAGCAGGAUUACCAGGAGCUCCGGGUUCACCUGGGCAGAAAGGGCAUAAAGGAGAGCCGGGUGAAAAUGGUUUACAUGGUGCUCCAGGAUUCCCUGGUCAAAAGGGAGAGCAAGGUUUUGAAGGCAGCAAAGGAGAAACUGGUGAAAAGGGUGAACAAGGAGAAAAAGGAGAUCCAGCUCUGGCUGGCCUUAAUGGAGAAAAUGGUUUGAAAGGUGACUUGGGUCCUCAUGGUCCACCUGGCCCAAAAGGAGAAAAGGGAGAUACAGGACCCCCAGGACCACCAGCCUUACCUGGUUCCCUGGGGAUACAAGGCCCCCAAGGUCCACCUGGAAAAGAGGGUCAGAGGGGAAGACGAGGGAAAACAGGACCUCCCGGAAAACCAGGACCCCCAGGACCACCUGGACCUCCUGGAAUACAAGGAAUACACCAAACUCUUGGUGGAUAUUAUAACAAGGAUAACAAGGGAAAUGAUGAACAUGAAGCUGGAGGCCUGAAAGGAGACAAGGGUGAAACUGGACUACCAGGAUUUCCAGGGUCUGUUGGCCCUAAAGGACAAAAAGGAGAACCUGGAGAGCCUUUUACAAAAGGAGAAAAAGGAGAUAGAGGAGAACCUGGGGUAAUAGGAUCACAGGGAGUAAAGGGUGAACCUGGAGAUCCCGGACCCCCUGGUUUAAUAGGAAGCCCAGGACUAAAGGGUCAGCAAGGAUCUGCAGGCUCCAUGGGACCCAGAGGACCGCCAGGAGAUGUUGGAUUGCCAGGAGAACAUGGUAUCCCAGGAAAACAAGGCAUUAAAGGAGAAAAGGGAGAUCCGGGUGGGAUCAUAGGCCCUCCCGGGCUUCCAGGUCCAAAAGGUGAGGCUGGUCCUCCAGGGAAAAGCCUGCCAGGGGAACCAGGAUUAGAUGGAAAUCCUGGAGCACCUGGUCCACGUGGGCCAAAGGGUGAAAGAGGACUUCCAGGUGUUCACGGUUCCCCAGGGGACAUAGGCCCACAAGGGAUAGGAAUUCCUGGCAGAACAGGCGCCCAAGGACCAGCUGGAGAGCCAGGUAUUCAGGGUCCUCGAGGUCUCCCUGGGUUGCCAGGAACUCCAGGGACUCCAGGGAAUGAUGGAGUUCCAGGGAGAGAUGGAAAGCCAGGCCUGCCAGGCCCCCCAGGUGACCCGAUUGCACUUCCUCUCUUGGGAGACAUCGGUGCUUUGCUCAAGAAUUUCUGUGGCAACUGCCAAGCCAGUGUCCCAGGGCUGAAAAGCAACAAAGGAGAAGAAGGAGGUGCUGGUGAGCCUGGAAAGUAUGAUUCCAUGGCCCGGAAGGGUGAUAUAGGGCCACGGGGUCCUCCAGGAAUCCCAGGAAGAGAGGGACCAAAGGGAAGCAAAGGAGAGCGGGGCUACCCUGGGAUACCUGGGGAGAAAGGCGAUGAGGGUCUUCAAGGAAUUCCAGGCAUUCCAGGUGCUCCAGGCCCGACUGGACCCCCUGGCUUAAUGGGAAGAACUGGACAUCCUGGUCCCACAGGAGCAAAAGGUGAAAAGGGCAGCGACGGACCCCCUGGGAAACCCGGACCACCUGGACCACCUGGUAUUCCAUUUAAUGAACGAAACGGCAUGAGCAGUUUAUAUAAAAUUAAGGGAGGUGUGAAUGUUCCCAGUUACCCAGGGCCACCCGGUCCUCCUGGCCCAAAAGGCGAUCCUGGCCCAGUGGGAGAGCCUGGUGCAAUGGGGUUGCCAGGAUUAGAAGGAUUUCCAGGUGUAAAGGGAGAUCGAGGCCCAGCAGGUCCCCCAGGAAUAGCAGGGAUGUCGGGAAAACCUGGUGCCCCAGGGCCUCCAGGAGUUCCAGGGGAACCGGGUGAGAGAGGACCUGUUGGAGAUAUAGGUUUCCCUGGACCAGAAGGACCCUCAGGAAAGCCAGGAAUAAAUGGAAAAGAUGGAAUACCAGGUGCUAGGGCAUCAUGGGUAAGCCUGGAGACAGAGGCCCCAAAGGAGAACGUGGUGAUCAGGGGAUUCCAGGAGACAGAGGCUCACAAGGUGAACGGGGAAAACCAGGCCUUACAGGCAUGAAGGGGGCCAUCGGUCCUAUGGGUCCACCAGGAAACAAGGGCUCCAUGGGAUCCCCUGGCCACCAAGGCCCUCCAGGCUCUCCAGGCAUCCCUGGCAUUCCGGCUGAUGCAGUUUCAUUUGAAGAAAUAAAGAAGUAUAUUAAUCAAGAGGUCCUAAGGAUUUUUGAAGAGAGGAUGGCUGUAUUCCUAUCCCAGCUCAAGCUGCCAGCAGCAAUGUUGGCUGCCCAAGCUUAUGGGAGACCUGGGCCACCAGGGAAGGAUGGGUUGCCUGGGCCACCAGGAGACCCUGGACCCCAAGGCUACAGAGGACAGAAGGGAGAAAGAGGUGAACCUGGAAUUGGGCUGCCAGGGAGUCCAGGUCUUCCUGGGACUUCAGCUCUGGGUUUGCCAGGCUCACCAGGUGCCCCAGGCCCACAGGGCCCCCCAGGACCCAGUGGAAGAUGUAACCCAGAAGAUUGCCUCUAUCCUGUGUCUCAUGCCCAUCAGCGCACAGGUGGGAAUUGAACACACCUGAAGAAGACUUGGUUCCUGGUAACAUUUCCUUGCCACUGGAGCUCUCUUAAUACCGUCAAACCCUCAUCAUCUGUGGGUUGCUUUUUUUUUUUUUUUUUUUUUUUGGGAGUAAGCCAGGCAUUAAAAGCAACCGUUUGAAUCCUAUUCCUAUAGCAAUUGCAAAUCA
rnacentral:lncRNA from 1 species